CGUGCUUAGCCCACUUCAGACCUCUGACCUCCGGCUGCAAGAUGGUAGAUUUAUAUUUUCUAAGCCACGGAGCUGUGGUCAUUGGUUACAGUGGCCAUAAGAAAUUCACUCACCCCCCUUCCGGGAGGCAAGAGUCCUGCCUGAGAGGAGCACGCACGCACGUGUGCACACACAAGACCACACACAAAGCCACCGUGUCACUGCGUGUCCACAGUCGGCCCAAGGCGGUCGGAGAGCCCGUAAGGACCACCGAGCGACAUGCCCGGCCCGUGGGCGCCACGGUGCAGCCCCCACACCCCCACCCUGGAGCGCCGGCCCCUGUUCCUGGAUGCUGGUCACGAAUAUGGGUGCUCAGCCCGGGAGACCAUCAGGGGCCAUAUGGCCUUGUAGGAGGGGCCUGUCUGUGGUCAAGGUCAUACGGGGAGCCUGGCCGGGGGCGGCUGCCUCGCAUCCCUUCCUGUGCCGCCCACCCGGCACCCAAACCCUCCCGGGUUCAGAGCUAGGAGCCCAGUCGUUUCCACGUCACGGAGGAGAAGCCCCUCGUGCUGUCUGUAAAGGGCUGCUGCCUCCUGACCCGCAGCUUGGCUCCAGACUCCAUGCAGAGGGGGCAACGGUGGUGAAGAUGAAGAUGGAGAUGGUGGAGGGGAUGGUGGAGAGGAUGAUGGUGGUGGAGAGGAUGAUGGUGAUGACGGUGAUGAUGAUGGAGAUGAUGGAGGUGGUGGUGGGGAUGAUGACAGCGGAGAUGAUGGAGAUGAAGAUGGAGAUGAAGAUGGUGGUGGGGAUGAUGAAGAUGAUAGAGAUUGAUGAUGGAGAUGAUGGUGAUGAUGAAGGUGAUGGAGAUGCUGCUGCUGGUGACAUGGCAACCCCCACACACGGCCACCAAGGUGUCGCCACAGCAUCCUUGCAGAGAGCUUGGCGGUGGCUGUGGGCUCACAGAACCCUAGUGACACCAGGGCACAGUCCUGGGUGCCUGGCGGCUCAGUCAGCAGAGCAUGCAACUCUUGAUCUCAGGGGUUGUGAGUUCGAGCCCCACGUUGGGUGUAGAGAUUUCUUAAAUACAUAAAAGUUCUUAAAAAAUAAUAAAAUAGACUUUCAAGUCUUCUGUGGUGUCUCC
rnacentral:lncRNA from 1 species